UACGUAGGGGGCAAGCGUUGUCCGGAUUUAUUGGGCGUAAAGAGCGUGUAGGCGGCCAUACAGGUCAGCUGUGAAAACUCGAGGCUCAACCUCGAGACGUCGGUUGAAACCGUAUGGCUAGAGUCCGGAAGAGGAGAGUGGAAUUCCCGGUGUAGCGGUGAAAUGCGCAGAUAUCGUGAAGAACACCCGUGGCGAAGGCGGCUCUCUGGGACGGUACUGACGCUGAGACGCGAAAGCGUGGGGAGCGAACAGA
rnacentral:rRNA from 1 species